UUUGUAGAAGGUGCUUCGGGCGCGGUCACGGUCCAAGUCCCUUGGAACAGGGCGUCGCAGAGGGUGAGAAUCCCGUACGCGGCUGACGACCAAACCUGGGUGAAGCCCUUUCGACGAGUCGAGUUGUUUGGGAAUGCAGCUCUAAAUGGGUGGUAAAUUUCAUCUAAAGCUAAAUAUCUGCCAGAGACCGAUAGCGCACAAGUAGAGUGAUCGAAAGAUGAAAAGCACUUUGAAAAGAGAGUCAAAAAGUACGUGAAAUUGUUGAAAGGGAAGCGAUUGCAAUCAGACUCGUUCGCGGGUGUUCAGCCGCUGUACGCAGUGGUGCACUUUCCUGCUUCGGGCCAGCAUCGGUUUCGGCGACCGGAUAAAGGCCUCGGGAACGUAGCUCUCUUCGGGAGUGUUAUAGCCCGGGGUGUAAUGCGGCCAGCUGGGACUGAGGACCGCGCAUUGCUAGGAUGCUGAUAAUGAUUGUAAUCGGCCCGUCUUGAAACCGGA
rnacentral:rRNA from 1 species